UGGCGGACGGGUGAGUAACGCGUAAAUAACUUGCCCUUUAUACUGGGAUAACAGAGGGAAACUUCUUAUAAUACUGGAUAAGUUAGUAUAUCGCAUGAUAUGCAAAUGAAAGCUACGGCACUAAAGGAUAGCUUUGCGUCCUAUUAGCUAGUUGGUAAGGUAAGAGCUUACCGAGGCGAUGAUAGGUAGCCGGCCUGAGAGGGUGGACGGCCACAAGGGGACUGAGAUACGGCCCUUACUCCUACGGGAGGCAGCAGUG
rnacentral:rRNA from 1 species